rnacentral:lncRNA from 1 species
CACAGUCCUGCGCAAUUAGACAAAUGUAUAUGUCCAGUGGCUUUUAUUGCUUUGCUAAUUGCCAGAUAGACUUGUAGUAGGUGGACCGCUAUUUCGUCUUUUGUUGGUUAGCUAGUUUGACUAAAUACCAAUUUUCUGCAAUACUCAAAAUAUCUAUACAUGCUUUAGGUAUUAAAUAUUCUCGUUGUUCGUCGAACUUAUUCAACAUAGGUAUGGACCUUUAAUGGUUUACUUCUAUAAAUUGUGACUUGGAUGGAGAUUUGUCUCAUUGGCACUCAUACCACAUCUUUCUAUAUCUAUAUAUGGAGAUAGCUUGUGUCGUUGAUGGAUUAUCCGAUAAAAAUAUUUAGGUCGUUUGAAAGCGGGUGCAUUUUUGCGUUACAUAUACGAAUUCCCAUUUAAUUGUGUGUAUAUUCUCCUAUAAGGGUUUGGAUGAUAGGUCGUCAAUUAUUAAGAAUGUGAUUUUGGUAGCAACACAACGACCGGGAGGAGCUUAUUUGGCUUUGAAAAGGUCGGGAGUGAAAAUUUGAUGGUAGGUUUGUUUUUACCGAUGGAUUAACUAUCGCUAAGGUGAAGAAUCGCAUUAAAAUAAUGCGAAGAUUUUAAGAUCUUCCCAGCUAUAUUAUAGUGCACAUUGGGAAAUGAUAUAUAUAAAAUAUCAAACUAGGUUACUUUCAUCAUUAGCUUGUUCAAUUUAUGUCAAGGUUAUAUAUUGAUUUGCCUGAUACAACUUUAUUUGGUCUCAAGUUCUAUUGCCAAGACUGCAAUGACGGUCGUCAAAUAAUGGGAAUUGUAAUGUAUGGACAAAUGCAGGCGUCGGUUAAACAGCUUCAUUGUUGUCCACAUGACAAAGCAUGGAUGUUACAUUCGAUAUCCUUACAUAAAAGCUAAACACGAGUCUCUAGCAGAAGAUGGGGUGUAUUUAACAAAGAGAAGAACAUUUUUUUCUGAACUUAAUACAGGGAGCCCUAGAAACAAUAAUUUCUAGUAAGACGGGUAGCAUUACUUUUCCAGACGACUAUUCCAUGCUUUGAAUUUUUAUAGUUGACUCGUUGUCAGUAACAAAUGCCUAUAUAUGAUCUUAGUGAACAGUUAAACGAAACAUCGGAGUUAUUGGGCUGUUUUAUAAAUAAUACAAAUAGUUGCUUGUUAAUUUACAAUUUAUACCAUAUAAUGGCAUAUAUUCAUUUAUCAGAAAAUUAUUUUAAUCAAAUUUUGCUUGAAAUGGCACAGCUAUGCGCAGCUCUCCCCAAUUUUAUUGGCGGUUGACGGUUCUGUGAAAAUUUUAACUGUAGGCUAAAAUUGUCGCAGCACCGCCAAUUUGGCAGAUUUCGCUGCGCUUAGAUAACAUAUUUGCAGUUUACAGACUUAUUGUAAUCGUAUGAUAGCAUUAGCCUCUGAUUUCCAGGGCUAAUAGCUUAUCUUGAACUUCCCCUUUUCAUAUAUGGUCUGCCACCUCAAACAUAUUCGGCGAUCAUCAUCAUAUAACAUUUUCAAAGACACAUAUGCAUUUUUAUCAGUUAAUUUUAGUUCAUAGAUCUACAUGUAUCACAAAUUGCAUUUCAUAUAAUAGUACAUAUAUCAUAUCACAAAUUGCAUUUCAUAUAAUAGUACAUAUAUCAUAUCACAAAAUGCAUUUCAUAUAAUAGUACAUAUAUCAUAUCUGUUAAUAAAUGCUGUGGCCAUUUCCUG